rnacentral:lncRNA from 1 species
CAUUUACUACAGAUAGGCAUCUUAAUAUAACUGACUUCUCCUUGAUCAGGUGCCAAAGGGGUUGCAGUGCCAAGACUGGGGCAGAGAGGAGACACGGCCAGGGACAGGACUGCGUGACCCAAGAUUCAUAUCAUACUGGGAACAAGUUGCCAAGAGAAGCUGUGGACUCUCCAUCCAAGACUUCGCUGGACAAGGUCCUGAGCAAUCCAGCACUCCCUUUGAAACUGGCCCUGCUUUGAGAAGGGGGCUGGACCAGAGGACCCUCCCCACCUCGACACACCAAAGGUCCCUUCCAACUUCAUUCUUUCUAUGAUUCUAUGUAUUUUUUAAUUUGACACUACCAGUUUGAGAGUCAUCAGUCUGAACGAGUAUCGUUUUCACAAAAUAGCUUUUCAGAUGAUUUUCUUGACAUUUUGCAAGCAUUUCACUUCUCUCCAGCUCUCUUUUGCCUUUAACAGCUUUCAUUUCAGUCUGAAUUGUCUUGACUUCGAGUAGUCUGUAUUUUUGCCAUAAUGGUUUCUACCACUGAUUAACUUUUUUGUUAAUAUUUUCAAACAUGUGUGUACUGUAGACAGCAGACUCUGCAUGCUCUGACAUGAGCAGCUAUCCUAGCUUGCCUUUUCUCCAGCCUAGCAUUUCUAUCCAAAAUAAUAUUAUCCUAGUAGGAU